CCUACGGGUGGCAGCAGUGGGGAAUAUUGCGCAAUGGGGGAAACCCUGACGCAGCAACGCCGCGUGAGUGAAGACGUAUCUCGGUAUGUAAAGCUCUAUCAGCGGGGAAGAAGGAAGACGGUACCCGACUAAGAAGUCCCGGCUAACUACGUGCCAGCAGCCGCGGUAAUACGUAGGAUGCGAGCGUUAUCAGGAUUUAUGGGGUUUAAAGGGUGCGCAGGGGGAAUGUCAAGUCAGCGGUAAAAUUUCGGGGCUCAACCCCGUCGUGCCGUUGAAACUGGCGUUCUUGAGUGAGCGAGAAGUAUGCGGAAUGCGUGGUGUAGCGGUGAAAUGCAUAGAUAUCACGCAGAACUCCGAUUGCGAAGGCAGCAUACCGGCGCUCAACUGACGCUCAUGCACGAAAGCGUGGGUAUCGAACAGGAUUAGAUACCCUUGUAGUC
rnacentral:rRNA from 1 species